UUGAACGCUGGCGGCAUGCCUUACACAUGCAAGUCGAACGGCAGCACGGGAGCAAUCCUGGUGGGCGAGUGGCGAACGGGUGAGUAAUAUAUCGGAACGUGCCCAGUCGUGGGGGAUAACGUAGCGAAAGCUACGCUAAUACCGCAUACGAUCUAUGGAUGAAAGCGGGGGAUCGCAAGACCUCGCGCGAUUGGAGCGGCCGAUAUCAGAUUAGGUAGUUGGUGAGGUAAAGGCUCACCAAGCCGACGAUCUGUAGCUGGUCUGAGAGGACGACCAGCCACACUGGGACUGAGACACGGCCCAGACUCCUACGGGAGGCAGCAGUGGGGAAUUUUGGACAAUGGGCGCAAGCCUGAUCCAGCAAUGCCGCGUGCAGGAUGAAGGCCUUCGGGUUGUAAACUGCUUUGUACGGAACGAAACGGUGAGCUCUAAUACAGUUUGCUAAUGACGGUACCGUAAGAAUAAGCACCGGCUAACUACGUG
rnacentral:rRNA from 1 species